GACAGUUUUUCCUGCUCAUGCACACGUGCAAACCCCAAAGGCUUCGGGUUUAGCAGUAAAAGCACGCAGGCUAAUCGGCCCGUUUGUAACUUACUUUCCACUUCAUGGUAUCCUUUCGGAGGCUCAAGAUUUUCUGUGUCAGGCCAGGGAUUUAGCUCAGCGAUAUUGGGUAGGCUGUGGCCGCCCCAGGGGAAGAACCACCAGCAACUCUUGAGAUCUGCACCAUGUUGGAACUUAGGGUGCUGGGAAACCAAGCAACCCACUCACCCCCCUGGAUGUCUGUUGCUGCCCCAUGAAGAGUCAGACGUCGGAGGAGCCUUAGAAGCUUAUCAUCCUCCGGUGGAUCCAACCCUGGAGUCCGCAGGAGAACUGCCCGAGGCCUCAAGACACUGCAGACCCUUGAGCCUGUGUGGACCGCCUGUAGUCUAGCUACUCAGCUCGCUGAGGCAGGAGAGCUGCGGGGGCCCAGGAGCUGGAGGCCAGCUCCAGAAUGAGACCCUGGACAACAAAGUUGCACAAAAUACAAAAUACUUCAGCCGGGUGUGGUGGUGCAUGCCUGUAAUUCCAGCACGCUGGAGGCAGAAGGACCAUUGUGAGUUUGAAGCCAGCCAGGGCUACCUGGUAAGGCCC